AGACUGCUUUGUAAUCUCAAGCAAUUCUGAGGUGGGCCGAGAUUGAGGAAGGAUUUAAGCUGAUGGCAAAGUCUUUUGGUUCUUCUCUCUUUUUGGACUUCCAUUUUGGAGCAGAUGUGGCUCUUUCCAUAAUGUAGGUAAGGUCUUGUCUAGGCCUCUGGCCUAGGCAUGUUUUCCUUAUCCUGUAUUUUCUUUAAUCCUUAAUUCUUAAUAAACCUCUAAAAAAUAUAAUACUCCUUGCAGAGAGAAACUAAUUUCUACCUGCCUCAGUCUCCCCUAAAUUUUAAUCUUUACAGUUUGGCAUAACCACUUCGGGAGAAAAAACUCUCAAUCUUCUGAUUUCUUUUGUGAUCUUUAGUUAAUCUUUAAUAGCUAGUACCUAGAAAAAAAAAUUUUUUUUGAGCCACAUCUCUCUGGCCAAGGUUUUUUUACCCUCGCAAAGCUGCUACAGGCUCCGGACCUGUUGCAUUUGCUGCCCACCCCACCCAGCUCAGCCCCAUUGCUUCCUGCCUGCAGCCUACAGCCCCAAUUGUCCUCACCUGGUACCUGGUCCCGGCCUUGCCCACCCUGGCAGCCGCUCCAGCUCCUGCUCCUAGCCUCUCACUGGCCCUGCCUGCCUGUGUUCCUGCCUGCAGCCAUCUGCUGGCUGCUGCCUGCCUGUUUCUGCGCCCCAGACCCACAAGCACAACCCCAGCUGGCUCAUCAUCCAGAUCCUUGGAGUAGAUCACUCAGGACUCAUUGAGGCCAGCUGGUAACAGUAUUGGCCACGUGGGCAGAGGGGAGAGACGAGAGGGAAAGGAGACCGGGCAAUUUUCCCUUAGGCUAAGCCUCCAUGUGGAUGGGGGUAUUGACCACAGGGGGUUCAUAGAAGGGGAGAGAGGAGAAGAAACAGAUUUUUCAAACAGAAACUUAAUAGCAAUGGGCUGUUUAAAAGGAUACCUUUUGACUCUUCUGGUAAUUUCAUUGACUUCACCUGCCUGUCAGGGAGCAGACUCAGCCCAAAGAUUCAACUUCAACUUUAACUUUGAAGGGGCAAAUGCGUGGCCCAGCGAACUAGGAGCCAGGCCCAGAGAUGGGAGGUCUCUAGUUGAAAUCUGGCCUGAGACACUUCAUGGCCUUGUGGCAGAUCGCUCAGACCCCAUUGCCUAGCCCUUACCACUCUGCCUUCGGACAAUAGACAUUUAAAUGGAUAAGAACCCAAGGAACUUUGAAGAGACCAAAGGCUAUAUUCUAAGGCAUUUCAGACUCCAAUGGUUUAUACAAAUCUCUGUAUUUCUAUUGCAUUUUGAUAUUUGCUUGCUUUAAGGUUUAACUUUGUGAUUUUAAGUUCAUAUAUUACUGGAUUCAAUAUUAUUCUGCUUGAACUGAAGGUUGAUUGAAUUUAUUUUGAAUGUACUUAGUUUUUAAAAUUCUGUUUUUCCCCUAUAACUAUUGAACAAAUAUUAUUGUGAAUAAGCCCAUAUAUGAAAAAACAGCUUUUUUCUAUUUUGCUGAGGAUAGAUGGACUUCAGAACUGGUUAUAAUUGUAUUAACAACUUUGGAAAAUUUAAUGUGCUAAAUACCUCAAAUGAUUUUAAAGGUUUUUUUAAAUAUUAUUUUUGUAAUUUUUUUUAACAGUCUCUGGUUAUUUUUGCCUGCCCCUACCACGAGGUAAGGCCCAUUCUAGUAGCUGAAGUGAAAUACAUUUUAUAAACCCCAACCUUCCCACAUGUGAAUGGAAUUUGGGCAGUUAAUCUCAGGGCAUUUGUAUCCCUAUACGCCUCCAAAAAAGGAGCAUCUUUUAUUUAUACUCUUCAGCUCACUACUUUACAUGCACCAGAAUGAUAUAUAGAUUUCUUGAUUAUAUUCUUAACCCAAGAUGAGUUUUACUUUGUUUUAAAAAAUAUGUUUAAAUAUGUAAACCUCAAAAUUUCUCAGACUUAUGAAUGUUAGGGGUUUCCUCCAUUGGGGAAUCUUCUACUUAAAAAAUUCCCUAGCAGAUAGUGAGAAGUCUACUUCAAUGUGAGGGCUCCUUGCCUUGGGAAUAUCCCUUCUCCACCCUACUUAGGACUGUUUUAGGACAGAGAGCUCCUUGAGAACAAUGAAAAGUACUUUGAUCCAUGCUUAUGGAAGGGACAGGAAGUCCUUUGAGUCAUGACUGUUUUAGAAUUGAUACAAUGGGAUACUAAGUACCUAUAAAGGUGGGGCAACUUGUAAACUACUUAAACCUAAAAGGGUGAUAACUUAUUCAGAGGUUUUUUCUUAAUGAAAUUUGUCGACACAGCAGCAUUUUUUCUGACUUACUAAAGAGAUUAAUCUAUUCAGCUGUGAAUUCAAAAUGGGCUGUCUUUUAGAAAAACUUCUACUGUGAUUGGUAGAUGUAAGGACUUAGGGGAGGUGACAUAGGAGAUUUUGCCCUUAAAAAUAAGAGCUCAGGGAAGAGCUGAGGAGAGAUUCUGAAACAUUCAGAUUGGAGAGACUCAUUCUGAGGAGACUGAUUCUGAAACAUUCAGAUGGAGGAGGGAGCUGGUGAAAGCAGCUGAGAUGCUGCUGGCCUGGUGUCAUUAGAAAUCCUUACUUAGACAGAUCUUAUGGUGAGUUAUAAAAAACUGACUGAUUUCUCUUUUAAGACUCAGGUCUAGGCCAUAUUGGCUUGAGGCCCUUCAUACUUAUUCCUUUCUUACUCUCUCUCUCUUUCUUUGAUUACUCAUUGUAUUGUUAAUUAAAAUCUCUAUAAAACCCAAUUGACUUGGGUAUUUGAAUAAUUGGGAAUAUUUCCCUGGCGACCACCUUAUAUUUGAUUUUAAAACCCAAGACACUGUAGUGAAACAUAUUUCUGGGGUCAAAUUUACUCACCCUCUCUUAUAUCUAUCACAACUUAUAUCUUCCACUAUUUUAAUCACUACAGUUUAAGACCUCAACCAUUUUAAAUCUCACAAAUACCAAGGUUGAAAGAUUUGCUAUGAUUGUAAAAAGUUGUGACAAAUAUCCAUCAAUUCAUAGGCUUUUAAAUGUCAUACAACUUAUGUGAAAUAUGACAGUGUGUUUGCUUGGUAUUGUAAUUAAUUGGGCUAUUGAGAAUUUUGGGGAUUUUGAUACCUACAUAUUUGUACUACUGUAUUUUUAAAAAAGGAAAAAUUGUUAACCUUGUUCAAUUCAUUUGCCUCAUACAUAUAGUGGAGCAUGGCCAGAUAUUAAGAGGAAAUGGAUCUCAUUUUUGGUGAGAAAGCCUUGAAUUUUAUAUUUUCCUAACUGACACAGAGUGUCAAUGAUUAUAAGCUACAUUUUUUAAUUUUUAAAGCUCUUUUAUUAUUAUAUUUUCUUGCAUGUGCAAUAUACUAUUUCAGUGUUUUUUUUUUAAUUUUUCUCUCCUUUUUAUAUUUGAGGCACAUGUCACCAGCAUGAAGAUUUUCUUUAACUUUUUGAUUUUUCAGUACUACAAGUUUGAAAUACAUUUUUCAGAGCAUGCCCAAAAGGCCUGUGACUAUAAAAAUGAUGCCACUAAUUAUUUAAAAGUUAUAGGACUUUGCUUAUUCUGUCUGAUUCCAGGACCAGAUAUACACAACAGAGCCAUUGCACAGAGCCAAAGAAAUGCCAAUCCAGGAUGGAUUGAUGCACUUCCAGGCCAAUACAAAGGUCUUGAACCUAGUGUGAAGACUCGAAGUUACUAUGUUUAUCAUUGCUAGACAUAGGUUUUCCUUGUGUCAACACUCACUCUGAAAAUACUCACAGACAAGUAUCCCCAAAACCUUGGCUCCUAUAAUCUGGUCCCUUUUUUUUUCUGCCUCUCAUAGUGUGGUACCUUUCUGUAGUCCUGGCUAUUGACUGGGUAAAUGCAUCAUUGCUUAGAUCAUUUUAAUUGGGCCCUGAUUCAAGGACCUGUUAUAGAUUUAUUUUUCUUUUACUUGGAAUUUUUACACAUAAGACUUUGAUAGUCUUUUCAUCCAGAAAUUUUUCUUUUUUCUUUUUUUUGGAUUUUUCUGAUAUCUUUUAAUAUCUCUUGCCAAUUGAUUCAUAUACCUCAUACCUCAGCCAUGCAUCCCUAAGUGAUCCUGUUUUUUUAAUCACCCUCUUAAAGGGGGGAAUGUAAAAAAUAUCAUUAUUUAAAUUGCAAAGUUUAAAUUCCUUUUGAAAAGAAUUUUAGGUAAAGAAGAUGCUACCUCUCUGAACCCAGAAACUGAAUUGUUGGAGAAGACAUAAUGAAGAAGCCUCCAGACCACAAGCUGCACAAAAAUGAACUUUGGGUGUAGUUGAUUGAACAUUUAUUUAUAUGUAUACUUUCAUGCCAAAGGGGACUGCCCCCUAACUGGCUUUCUGUCAAUGUGUCCAGCAAUUAUUGGUCUUGUUCUUUUUUUCUCUUAUCCUCAAAUUAUUGUAAUCUUUAAAUUGAUUAUGUUUUUAUGAUCCUUUGGGGAAGGACUUCUUCCCAGAGGAUCAAACAGAGGAAUGUAAAAAAUAGACUCGAAUACAAGACUACAAUCCCCACAAUUCCUUGCUCCACUUUCCCAGAAUGCUUUGUAAUCUCAAGCAAUUCUGAGGUGGGCCGAGAUUGAGGAAGGAUUUAAGCUGAUGGCAAAGGCUUUUGGUUCUUCUCUCAUUUUGGACUUCCGUUUUGGAGCAGAUGUGGCUCUUUCCAUAAUGUAGGUGAGGUCUUGUCUAGGCCUCUGGCCUAGGCAUGUUUUCCUUAUCUUGUAUUUUCUUUAAUCCUUAAUCCUUAAUAAACCUCUAAAAAAAAUAUAAUACUCCUUGCAGAGAGAAACUAAUUUCUUCCUGCCACAGUUUCCCCAUAUUCCUAAAUUUUCAUUAUUACAGCAUUUAUGUAAAAAAGUGUGAAGCCAUGGGUCCCGUGAAACUAGGUGUCUAGGCUGCUAUUCUUCCUUCGGUGUAAUUACUAUUUCUAGUAUCUAGUUUGGUAAGUUUACAAGAAACUUUCUCUCCUGUCUUUUUUAGUUUAAAAUCCUUUAAUUAGUUUCACAAACCAAAAAACAAAUUUAUCCUUAAGAGUUUUUGUUGGUCAUAUUACCACUCAGGUAAGGAAUUAAACAUUGAUAUCUCAUUUUAUUUUAUUUUCUUAAGGCCUAAAAGAUUUACUUAUUCUCCUCUUUAUGUGAGUUUAGAACUUCUUUUACUAGCAACUUUAGUUGCUAUUUCACUCUUGUAGCUUGCCACCCACAUUCUGUAAGCUCCCCAGCAAGAGAGACAACUCCAGGUGCCAUACCUGUGUGCAUUUUCACAUAUCUAUAUAUGUAUUUAUAUAUUUAAAAAGGAUGACUAUUAGAAACAGUUAAUAUUGAUUACUCUAAUGAUUUAUUUAGUGUUUGUCCUGAGGCAGCUAAGGCUUAGUGGAUAGUGAGCCAGGCCUGGAAAAGAUAGAAAGGUCCUGGUUUCAAAUAUGACCUCAGAUACUGCCUAGCUAUAUGACCCUGGACAAGUCACUUAACUUCAAUUGCCCAGCCUUUAUUGCUCCUUUGAUUUUUUUUUAAACCCUUACCUUCCAUCUUUUCCAGGCCUGGCUCACUAUCCACUAAACCUUAGCUGCCUCAGGACAAACACUUACUAAAUAAAUCAUUAGAAUAAUCAACCACUGAACUACCCAGCUAUCCAGGUGCCCUCCCCCCCUUUUGAUUUUACGACAGUAGGAAAGGGAUAUUUAAAAAAAAAGUUUAAAAAAAGGUUAGUUCUAAUUGUAAGCCAGGUCUAACAGCUAAAUUAAACUAAUAAAAGCACUUCCUGAUGUUGUGGAAUGUUGAGGUGUACCCCUGGGGUUCAGGAAGGUUACCUUUUGCAAGAAUGCAAGACUCCAAAACUUAAAAGUAAAGAGAGAGAUUUAUUAGUAAUGUUGAAUUUUUGGCCAGUAAGACAGCAUGAGUGGAGCAACCUGAGAGGUUGCACCCCAAAUGCCUCCAUUCUGGAGUUUUAAUAUUCUACCCUAGAAAGGACAAGACUCUGGGGCAAGGGGUGGAGGGGAGGAGGUUAGCCCGAGGGCAUGGGUGGUUCUCUGAUUUGGAGGAUGUAAGAAUUGGGUGUGUCUCUUUGUCAGUCACAAUUCCUUGGGGCAGUCAAAGCAGGGUAGUCUUCAAGGUCAGGUGUUUUGGGUUGGGAGUCUGGAGGGCCUAAGGGAGCAGAGGAAUUUACCGGAUAAUAGUUUGCCUGAGUUUCCGGGUGUACAAAGCCCUGGACAAUUUAAGAUCCGGUUACUUAAGGAAUCACCAAAUGAUCCACCAUAAUGUUAAAAUAAGCUUUAGAAUAAAAAUGCAUUUUAGAAGUAGGGAUAGUUAUUAGAUUUAUUUAGAGAGCCUAAGUUUUCAUUCUCAUCUCUGAUAGGGAGAGAAGCCGCCCUUUAUUCAAAAGAAACCAAGCUUCUAAAGCAACAAAGUCCUGCCUUCCAAAAAGACUGUCAAAAGCUUUCUCCAGCAGCUUCUGAAGUGAGGGGCAUGAGGUCUAGUCCAAAAGUAUUAAAUUCAGUAGCUACCCCCCUUAGAUCCUCCCUAUUUUGCUCACUCCUCCUUAAGCCCAGCUUUUGCACCCUGCCAAUGUUUCUCCUUUCUUGUAGAACUAGUCUUAUUUUUGUCAAACUUCCCUGUACUUUUGAACUCUGUGGCAAAAACCCACAACUGUAUUUUUUUUUUCAUUUUUGUAUUAAAAAAUAAACGCCGGAGCCUACAAACUGGAAAGUCCUCUACCUUUGAAACCGGCUCUCUGGAGACUCUCUAGAGAGGGUGGGUCCAGGGGCUGACUCAUCUGGUAUGGAAAAGGAGGUAAAAGGCAUCCGCCAAUCAGGUGUGGAAAGCAGCUGUUUAAAAUUCGUAACUGCUGACUCUUCUGCCUUUCAGUUUUGUACUUGGUUACUGAGGACUCUAGGAUCCUUUUUAUUGGUUAAUUGCUAGACUUGCUAAUAAAUUGAUCAUUUUUGAAGUCUGAAACUGGGUCUCAGUUGAUCUUUUUCAAAGAUUUUUAUCCAACCAUUGGUACUGUGGGGCCCGAGUGAGGGACUCCUUCAGAUGAACUUCCUAGAGCUCUCCCUUAAAUUUUUCAUCCGGGAACUUCCUCCUAGAGGGAUGGAGAAGGACUCUGCCUGAGGCUUCCUAACCUUCUGAGCUAUGGGAGCCCAAAGACAGGGUCUUCUAUAGGUAGGAGACUAUUAGAGGGGUAAUAGGUAACUUAUCCAGAGUAUUGACCCUUGGAAUUUGCUCCUCCUGUAAACAGAAAGGCUGCCCUAAAAAAGGACUCGCUGACUUCAUGGAAACCCUCCUCUCUGCUAAGGAAAAGAGCCAUCCUAAAUAAAGGCUGCAGAAAAAAACGUGUCCCUCUGGGUCUUCCUAAUCGGUCCUUACAAGGCAUCCAGUGGAGCCCAGACCAGGCAGCUGAUGCGCCCGGCUAUCACUCGCCAGGGAUUCCUUAAACGCGGAAACGAUGAGAUGCCCUGUCUGCCCCGAAAAUCGGAACACAUUUCAAAAGACUUCACCAGAGGAAAAAGCCACCCGUGGGUCGUCCUUUGUUCAGCAGUCCCCACCGGAGAUCGAGUGCCCACGUUGGUCUAAAAAGGAUAUAGACGAACUGAGAAAAAACAUCGCGCAAUAUUUACACGAAGAGAGAAACAAAGGCGAGACAAAAACAACCCCCCCAACACGGGCGAUUCCGGUGCUCCCCCCUGUUCCGAGAGCUUCCAAAGUGCGGAAGUGUUCUUGCUGUCAUCAGAAGGGCCAUCUCGACGCGCAAUGUCGCUUUAAAAGGAAGCCUGGUUUACGGGUCCGAAGGAAAUGGAAUAAAGCUAAGAAGCGCGGAGAGCGUUUGAAGAAAUUCUGAUGAACUGCAAUAUGAGAUUGAGGACCCAAGUACUACAGUUAAGGAACUGCAACCUCUCCCAGGCACUGGAUGGAAGAAUCCACUUUUGUAUAUAAGUUCAUUGGAGAACAUGAAAAUUGUAAAACUGUACUUUUUUCCUAAAAAGGAAGUGUUACAUCUUGGUAACAAUCAAAACUGGAUUUAAGACUUAAUAGGAGCCAACAGUUUUCUUAAGGUUUUGAGUAUGCUGCUGGUUUAUUGGAUUUAUAAAAAUUCAAGAAUGUUGUAUUCCUAUUACUUGUCAGACUUGUCACACAUUCAACCAACUGGAACAUAUGCAUGUUGAGUUUAUAUGUAUCCCUCACACUGGUCACUGCCUUCAGUCCUCAUUGGGUUAAAGCUUUUACAGUUUUAUUGGAAAACUUUAGCCAUAUACUUCUUGAAUUCCAUCUGCAGAGCACUCCAAGGGGGAAGUCACUUACCUAAAUAUUAAAACCUAUCAUAUAUAAAAUUGCUUUAGGACGAUUUGUACAUGGCGAAUUUUUUGCUUCUACCAGCCAUAUAUUGACUGUGAAACUGUGAAAGAAUUUAAACUGUUUUUGUUUAUUUUAACUUAAUCAAUCAAGAACUUGGAAUCUUCUUCCUUUCACACUUCAUCAUUAACCCUUAGUCCUAAAAGACCAUGAGCACUGCCCCACCCAUGGGGAGUGCUAAGCAAAUUGGGAUACUAUGAUUGGUUCCUAAGAUGUAAUAGACCAGCCCACAGUGAAAGGAACUAGAAACCAGAGACACAGGAAAUGAGGUGGAAAAAACUGCUUAUAAAAGCCAGACAAGGGAAUUCUGAGUCGUAUUGCUGCAUUGGUGGCUCUUGCUGGAUUACUUCUGCAUUGGAGAUUGAUUCUGUGCUGGUAAGACUCUUUUCUGAAGAGGCUACUGUGACUACUGGUUGGAGAUUGGGGCCUAAGGAAGCCUUUGUUGGAAUUGAGCUGGAUUUAUAUCAAGAUUUAGGGAAUUUAGCUAGGCAAUAUCUUCUACCUCCUUCCUACAUUUCCCUCCCUUAUGAUCUCUACCUUGCUGUAAUAAAGCUACUAACAGCCUUUUGACUUAAGAGUUAAUUAUAAAUGGAAACCACAACAAUAUUUUUUAAAUUCUUAUAUUUGUCAAACCCAUUUUAAUUAUUACAAAAAUAUAUUUUGAUUACUUACCCUUGUACCACCCUAAUUGAUAUCAAAUUAAACCAUAGUCUUAGUUUAACUUUUCAAAUUAUGCUGUAAAUGUUUUAUUGGCCCAAAACCACAAUAAUUCUAUUUGGCCUUAAUGUAUAAUGGAUGAAGUUUUGCUAUUUGAGGUGGGAAUUUUUUAAAUAUACUUCUGAGCUUUUUAAUUUCAGGCAUGCUUACAAGAUUGCAAACCCAAUCCAUUUUAGACUGAGGACUGCCAUGUAUUUGCCCAUGGGAGAAAGUUGAGGGGAUGACUGUGCAAAGGUGAAGGUAGAUUCCCCUUGACUUGGUUUCCCAUUGAGCUACUUUGUAAACUGAAAAUUUUCCCAUUAGGAUUUUAAUCCUGGCUUUUUGUACCCUACGAAUAUGGAGCUUUGGUAUGAUUUGCUCUUAACUAUGACUGCCCUGGAAUCAAAAUAAAGCUAAGACAGGGUUUUACUUGUUAUGGAUUCUCUAUAGCCCUCCUUAGCCUUUCAUAGCAAAUUUCUAUAAUAACUACUUAGAAGAUUGGAAGUGUAUAUGAAUUAAAUCACGUCAGGUUAUAAAAUUGAACCAUAUUCUAAAGAUUUAGGGAAAGUAAUCAGUACUGAAACAUUGGAGUCACAUUCGUAGGAUGUAGACAAAAAGAUCUUCCAUGAUUUUCCUUUAGUUUGUAGUUUUAUUUGCCUAUAUGAUAUAGGAAUAGAUUUAGCUAAGGAGGUGAGAAAAUUUUGGGGUUUAGGACAGCAAGUGAUUAAUUGGGAAAUAAAUGAAUCAUACUGACUUGUAACUCAGUUCUGGAGCUAACUUGUAACUAAGUUCUGGAGAAACUUAGUUUCUCUUCAGUUAUAGGUCUAGUUGAAUUUCUGUUUUAUUUUUUAUUUUUUGGUGAUGACACAUUUUAUUUAUUUAAAAAUUAAAAAAAAAGUUUUUUUCAUGGUUA